GACGAACGCUGGCGGCGUGCCUAAUACAUGCAAGUAGAACGCACAGUUUAUACCGUAGCUUGCUACACCAUAAACUGUGAGUUGCGAACAGGUGAGUAACGCGUAGGUAACCUGCCUGGUAGCGGGGGAUAACUAUUGGAAACGAUAGCUAAUACCGCAUAAUAUUGAUUAUUGCAUGAUAAUUGAUUGAAAGAUGCUAUUGCAUCACUACCAGAUGGACCUGCGUUGUAUUAGCUAGUAGGUGAGGUAACGGCUCACCUAGGCGACGAUACAUAGCCGACCUGAGAGGGUGAUCGGCCAAACUGGGACUGAGACACGGCCCAGACUCCUACGGGAGGCAGCAGUAGGGAAUCUUCGGCAAUGGACGAAAGUCUGACCGAGCAACGCCGCGUGAGUGAAGAAGGUUUUCGGAUCGUAAAGCUCUGUUGUAAGAGAAGAACGGGUGUGAGAGUGGAAAGUUCACACUGUGACGGUAUCUUACCAGAAAGGGACGGCUAACUACGUG
rnacentral:rRNA from 1 species